CGUGGAGCGAUUUGUCUGGUUUAUUCCGAUAACGAGCGAGACUCUAGCCUACUAACUAGUCCACACAUUGCUACUGCUGCUGUGUUGUGCUUUGACUUCUUAGAGGGAUUUUCGGCGUUCAGCCGCACGAGAUUGAGCCCCGGACAUCUAAGGGCAUCACGAGAUUGAGCAGGUCUGUGAUGCCCUUAGAUGUCCGGGGCUGCACGCGCGCUACACUGGCGAAAUCAGCGUGCUUGUCCUCCUUUCUCGAAAGAGAUUGGUAAACCAUUGAAAAUUUGCCGUGAUUGGGAUCGGAAAUUGCAAUUAUUUUCCGUGAACGAGGAAUUCCAAGUAAGUGCGAGUCAUCAACUCGCGUUGAUUACGUCCCUGCCCUUUGUAC
rnacentral:rRNA from 1 species